rnacentral:rRNA from 1 species
GACGUAGGGCGCGAGCGUUGUCCGGAUUUAUUGGGCGUAAAGAGCUCGUAGGCGGCUUGUUGCGUCGACCGUGAAAACCCGGGGCUCAACUUCGGGCUUGCGGUCGAUACGGGCAGGCUAGAAUUCGGUAGGGGGAGACUGGAAUUCCUGGUGUAGCGGUGAAAUGCGCAGGAUAUCAAGGAGGAACACCGGUGGCGAAGGGCGGGGAUCUCCGUGGGGCCCGAAUGAUUGACGCUUGGAGGGAGCGAAAAU